UUGACCUCGAAUCAGGUAGGACUACCCGCUGAACUUAAGCAUAUCAAUAACGCGGGAGGAAGAUCAUUACGGAGUUAUCCAACUCCACCCCUGUGAAAUUAUACCCUUUUAAUUUGUUUGUUUUCCGGGAAUUUCCCCGCGGACC
rnacentral:rRNA from 1 species